UACGUAGGGUGCGAGCGUUGCCCGGAUUUAUUGGGCGUAAAGGGCUCGUAGGCGGUUUGUCGCGUCGGGAGUGAAAACGCCGUGCUUAACACGGCGCUUGCUUUCGAUACGGGCAGACUAGAAGGUAUGCAGGGGAGAACGGAAUUCCUGGUGUAGCGGUGAAAUGCGCAGAUAUCAGGAGGAACACCGGUGGCGAAGGCGGUUCUCUGGGCCGAUACUGACGCUGAGGAGCGAAAGCGUGGGGAGCGAACAGG
rnacentral:rRNA from 1 species